rnacentral:rRNA from 1 species
GUAGGUGGCAAGCGUUGUCCGGAAUUACUGGGUGUAAAGGGAGCGCAGGCGGAAGGACAAGUUGGAAGUGAAACCCACGGGCUCAACUCGUGAACUGCUUUCAAAACUGUUUUUCUUGAGUGGUGUAGAGGUAGGCGGAAUUCCCGGUGUAGCGGUGGAAUGCGUAGAUAUCGGGAGGAACACCAGUGGCGAAGGCGGCCUACUGGGCACUAACUGACGCUGAGGCUCGAAAGCAUGGGUAGCAAACAGGAUUAGAUACCCUGGUAGUCCAUGCCGUAAACGAUGAUUACUAGGUGUGGGAGGAUUGACCCCUUCCGUGCCGCAGUUAACACAAUAAGUAAUCCACCUGGGGAGU